AUUGAACGCUGGCGGCAGGCCUAACACAUGCAAGUCGAACGAGUGGCGGACGGGUGAGUAAUGUCUGGGAAACUGCCUGAUGGAGGGGGAAAACUACUGGAAACGGUAGCUAAUACCGCAUACCAUCGGAUGUGCCCAGAUGGGUUUGGCUAGUGGGUGGGGGAAAGGCUCACCUAGGCGACGAUCCCUAGCUGGUCUGCGAGGAUGACCAGCCACACGGGAACUGAGACACGGGCCAGAGGCCUACGGGAGGCAGCAGUGGGGAAUAUUGCGCAAGGGGCGCAAGCCUGAUGCAGCCAUGCCGCGUGUAUGAAGAAGGCCUUCGGGUUGUAAAGUACUUUCAGCGGUGAGGCGUUACCCGCAGAAGAAGCACCGGCUAACUCCGUGCCAGCCGCCGCGGUAAUUC
rnacentral:rRNA from 1 species